rnacentral:rRNA from 1 species
UACGUAGGUGGCAAGCGUUGUCCGGAAUUAUUGGGCGUAAAGCGCGCGCAGGCGGCCUCUUAAGUCUGAUGUGAAAGCCCCCGGCUCAACCGGGGAGGGCCAUUGGAAACUGGGAGGCUUGAGUAUAGGGGAGAAGAGUGGAAUUCCACGUGUAGCGGUGAAAUGCGUAGAGAUGUGGAGGAACACCAGUGGCGAAGGCGACUCUUUGGCCUAUAACUGACGCUGAGGCGCGAAAGCGUGGGGAGCAAACAGG